rfam:Staphylococcus chromogenes MT 970 SCHR_MT970Contig03, whole genome shotgun sequence.
AGCUACAUACAACCGCUCAAAUAUAGGUUAUAAGUACAUUCGUCACCUAUAUAUGGCGUGACUUAAUUAUAGG